rnacentral:rRNA from 1 species
GACGAACGCUGGCGGCGUGCUUAACACAUGCAAGUCGAACGGAAAGACCCUGCUUUUGUGGGGUGCUCGAGUGGCGAACGGGUGAGUAACACGUGAGUAACCUGCCCUUGACUUUGGGAUAACUUCAGGAAACUGGGGCUAAUACCGGAUAGGAGCUCCUGCUGCAUGGUGGGGGUUGGAAAGUUUCGGCGGUUGGGGAUGGACUCGCGGCUUAUCAGCUUGUUGGUGGGGUAGUGGCUUACCAAGGCUUUGACGGGUAGCCGGCCUGAGAGGGUGACCGGACACAUUGGGACGGAGAUGCGGCCCAGACUCCUACGGGAGGCAGCAGAGGGGAAUAUUGCACAAUGGGCUGAAGCCUGAUGCAGCAACGCCGCGUGCGGGAUGACGGCCUUCGAGUUGUAAACCGCUUUCGCCUGUGACGAAGCGUGAGUGACGGUAAUGGGUAAAGAAGCACCGGCUAACUACGUG